GCCGGUGUGUUGGAAUUGGCAGACAAGACGGGUUCAGAGUCCGUUGCUUGAAAGGGCGUGUGGGUUCAAAUCCCACCAUCGGCA
rnacentral:tRNA from 1 species